GAUGAGUGAUUGGAGGGAAGAAAGAGCUAUCUUGCUGAGAGAUGGCUUUGCAUGGAUGAGAGGAAUCGCUUCUGGAAAGACUGUUUUCCGGCAAGCAUCUGCUCUGAGCCAGUGGACACCCCUAUUUGCUUACUGGAUUAAGUUUCUACAUGGGCCAAAUAUACCAGAUGAUAGUGAAAUUUCCACUUUAAUUUGCAUGCCUAAGUAUAGUCUUGCACAUUAGAAAUGGGAACAAAAUGGAAUGUAACCAAUAAAAUGUGCUUUGGAGGUUUGUGUGCAUGAACUUGAAAUAUGAAGCCAAAAUCACAGAAGAACAUGCUAUGCACAUAGCAAGUAAGUAGACAGCAUACUAUUUUUGUACUCAGAACUAUUUUGUAUGAUGGUUAUUACUAGUGCUGGGUAUUAUUGAAAUCUUAUAAUUUUUAGCAAAGAGGUGUCUAGAUGUGACUCUGGAUCCUGAAAUUCUAGCCAGUCAUGGGCCAAAAAUGCGCAGUUUUAAAAUUAAAUAAUAAAAUUGGGAUAACUGAUGGUGUUUUACACACACAGUAAAUUUCGGACAAUGGAUUUUUAGUUUGAUUAA